UCACCUUCCACCACAAAUUUUUGCCCUCGUCAAGCCAAUUAGCUCCCCACUAGCAAUUGACACCUAGCCUUUCUACACCAUAAGCAGCACUGCCAGCAAGUGAUGAAACCACCAAAUCUUGCAUUUAGUUGCUGCAAAAUAGUAACACUUGUAUUUUAUUUAAGUUUGAAGUGAAAUCAAAAUCAGGUGAAAUGGGGACACUCUAGGGUCUGGACGAUUUCUUGGGCAACGUAAUCUAUAGGAAAAGUCACCCAAGCCACUUGAGCAAAAAACCAUCGGGGAACAUUCGUCAAGGAUCGAUCGGGCGACCUAAGCCGUAUGGCUAGGCUCCCAAGGGAGUUGGACAUGUGACAUUUUGGUGCAACUUAUGUCACCCUACAACUAGCCUUGCAUGUCCAGGUCAAUUUUUAAGAAGUUUUAGGAGCAAAUGGAAAGUGGAUGUUAAGGAUUGAAGGCCUAUGGAGGGAGAUUCCAAGAUUUGAGAAGGGAAGCUUCUUUUGGGUAUUUUGAGUUCGAUGUUUGGAAUUCUUUUUGUGGAUUUGAAGUUUGUGUAAAUAUUUAAUGUCUCUUGGUUUGACCGUUGUUCUUGUGGAGCUUAACUUGUGGAACUCGAAUAUUUGUUGUGGAAGCUAAAAAUUUGGGUUUGGAAUCUAGGUUUAACCUAACAUAGCAAGGUGAGUUUGUUUUGUGAAAACUUUAUAAAUGCCAAAAAUGUUUAUUUUGGAGUUUUAAAGUGUUUUUUUUUUUAAGAUUUAUCAAACGUUAUUGGUUAUUUGAUGAGAUUGCAUAUCUUGCACAUUUGGGUUUAUAAAAAUCUUGAGAAACACAUAUA